rnacentral:rRNA from 1 species
UACGUAGGCAGCGAGCGUUGUUCGGAGUUACUGGGCGUAAAGAGUGCGUAGGCGGUGUUGCAAGUCUGUUGUGAAAUCUCCCGGCUUAACUGGGAGGGUGCGGCGGAAACUGCAAUGCUUGAGUACGGGAGAGGUAAGCGGAAUUCCUGGUGUAGCGGUGAAAUGCGUAGAUAUCAGGAGGAACACCUGCGGUGUAGACGGCUUACUGGACCGUAACUGACGCUGAGGCACGAAAGCGUGGGUAGCAAACAGG